GUCAACAGUCCCCCUAAAGUGAGCGUCCUGCCGCCGUCCAGUGAAGAGAUUUCCACAAAGCAAGCAGCAACACUGAUGUGUGUGGCCAACAAGGGCUUCCCCUCAGACUGGAGUCUGAACUGGAAGGUGGACGGGAUCAGCAGCAGGUCUCAGUACAGCAGUGUUGCUCUCCUGGAGAAGGACGGUCUGUACAGCUGGAGCAGCAGUCUGACUCUCUCUGAGCAGGAGUGGAGCUCAGUGAUCUCAGUCAGCUGUGAGCUCACACAGAAAGACCAGCGUGAUAAAGUCACUGGAGAAUUGAGGAGAGAUCAGUGUUCACAGUAGAUCCACUCACUCUCUCCUCUGUCUCACAUCAAGACUAACAGACUAACUGUGUUUCUCUCUCUCAUCUCACAUCUCUUUUCACAAACAACACAAGUCUAUGUCUGCUUUAUUCAUUCACUCAUGAUUGUGUGACAAUUCAUCAAAUAAAAUCAUAUUCUAUCUUUA